rnacentral:rRNA from 1 species
GAUGAACGCUAGCGGCAGGCUUAACACACGCAAGUCGAGGGGUAACGAUGGUGCUUGCAUCAGGCGACGACCGGCGAACGGGUGCGUAACGCGUAUAGAAUCUGCCUUGUACAGGAGGAUAGCCUUUAGAAAUGAAGAUUAAUACUCCAUAAUGUUAUUUAGUGGCAUCAUUAAAUAAUUAAAGAUUUAUCGGUACAAGAUGACUAUGCGUCCUAUUAGUUAGUUGGUAAGGUAACGGCUUACCAAGGCGUCGAUAGGUAGGGGGUCUGAGAGGAUUAUCCCCCACACUGGUACUGAGACACGGACCAGACUCCUACGGGAGGCAGCAGUGAGGAAUAUUGGACAAUGGGCGCAAGCCUGAUCCAGCCAUGCCGCGUGCAGGAAGACUGCCCUAUGGGUUGUAAACUGCUUUUAUACAGGAAGAAACUGUAGUACGUGUACUACACUGACGGUACUGUAAGAAUAAGCACCGGCUAACUCCGUGCCAGCAGCCGCGGUAAUACGGAGGGUGCAAGCGUUAUCCGGAAUCAUUGGGUUUAAAGGGUCCGCAGGCGGUCGAUUAAGUCAGAGGUGAAAUCCCAUAGCUUAACUAUGGAACUGCCUUUGAUACUGGUUGACUUGAGUCAUAUGGAAGUAGAUAGAAUAAGUAGUGUAGCGGUGAAAUGCAUAGAUAUUACUUAGAAUACCGAUUGCGAAGGCAGUCUACUACGUAUGUACUGACGCUCAUGGACGGAAGCGUGGGGAGCGAACAGG